CCUACGGGAGGCUGCAGUGGGGAAUAUUGGGCAAUGGAGGCAACUCUUACCCAGCAACGCCGCGUGCAGGAAGAAGGCUUUCGGGUUGUAAACUUCUUUUCUCAGGGACGAAGCAAGUGACGGUACCUGAGGAAUAAGCCACGGCUAACUACGUGCCAGCAGCCGCGGUAAUACGUAGGUGGCAAGCGUUAUCCGGAUGUACUGGGUGUAAAGGGCGUGUAGGCGGGAAAGCAAGUCAGAUGUGAAAACCAUGGGCUCAACCUGUGGCCUGCAUUUGAAACUGUUUUUCUUGAGUGCUGGAGAGGCAGACGGAAUUCCUGGUGUAGCGGUGAAAUGCGUAGAUAUUAGGAGGAACACCAGUGGCGAAGGCGGUCUGCUGGACAGCAACUGACGCUGAGGCGCGAAAGCGUGGGGAGCAAACAGGAUUAGAUACCCCUGUAGUC
rnacentral:rRNA from 1 species